AGGCAAUCUAUGUCAUUCUGGUCUAGCCAGGUGGAUUCUUUACUACUGAGCCAUCAGGGAAGCCACUGAACACAAAUACUGCUUAAGAAAAUCAUUAAACAAGUGAAGAAACUAAAAGAAGAAAAAAGGAACAUCUUUGGAGAGAUGUCUAUUUAGGAAGUGAAAUAAUAAAUGCAAGAAGAUAAAGGACUUCCUUGGUGACCCAGUGGUUAAGAAUCAAUCUACCUGUUAAUGCAGGGGACACAGGUUUCAUUCCUGCUCUGCAAAGAUUCCACACGACCUGAGGUACCUAAGCCCGUGCACCAAAACUUUUGAGUCUGUGCUCUAGAGCCUGUGAGCCACAACUACUGAGCCUACAUGCUGCAACUACUGAAGCCUGCAUGCUCUAGAUCCCCUGCUCUGCAAACAAAAGAGGCUACUGCAAUGAGAAGCCCAUGCACUGCAACCAGAGGGUAGCCCUCUAUUCCGCAACUAGAGAAAGCCCAUGUGCAGCAACAAAUGGAUUUUAUUUAUUCAUUUUUAAUAUUAUUUACUUAUUUAUUCAUAAAAAAAGAAGAAGAUAGAGGUAAAAUCUCCCCUUUCAAUGGUAACAAUGACCCUAUAUGCAGGACAGCAGGGGAGACACAGAUGUAGAGAACAGACUUUUGGACUCUGUGGGAGAAGGCGCGGGUGGGAUGAUAUGAGAGAGUAGCAUUGAAACAUGUAUAUUACCAUAUGUAAAACAGAUGACCAGGGAAAGUUCAAUGUAUGAGGCAGGGCACUUAAAGCCACUGCUCUGGGACAACCCAGAGGGAUGGGAUGGGGAUGGGAUGAAUCACCCGUGGCUGAUUCAUGUCGAUGUAUGGCAAGAACCACCACAAUCUUGUAAAGUAAUUAGCUUCCAAUUAAAAUAAAUUAAUUUUUAAAAUUAAAAAAAUCUCCCCUUUCAUAUUCCCUUCCCCUCCCCUUGUAACAUUGAGGGUACCAAUUUGUGCAGCCUUUCACACCUUCAUCAUGUGUAUGUAUUUAUACACACAGAUACAAUUUUUUAAAAUAAAAAUGAAAUCAUAUUCUUCCUCCCUCUCCCUCCCUCCUUCCCCCUCUCUCUCUGAAACUGUGUCACACAGCCGCUUUGUGGUUCCUUCCAUAGCACCUGCACAUCAUUCCUCAGUGGUAGCAGGCCCAAAGUGGGAGGUGACAGUAAGAACAGAGGGCCAAGAAACAGAACUCUGUUAGAGCCAUCCAUUGGAAGCAAAACUUCUCAUUGCACAAGACAGGUCUGUAUAGUCUUCAUUGGUCCCACACACAGCAAUAGAGCAUGCUGUCCUCCCCACACACAGCUCACUGCUUGGAGCCAAGUUCUCACUGAGUCCUGACAGCAGCCCCUUCCGUUUUACUCACAGUUGAAUGCAUUCUGUUGUAUGUGCAUGAUACUCUCCUUCCACUGCUGGGACUUGCUCUGAGAUGACUGUGUCUUAAUCUCACUGGUCCCACACUGAUGCCAAAGUCUAAGGAGUCCACAUGGGGUAACUGUAGUCAUGCUUAGAGACCUUGCCCUUGGCGAAACACUGGUCGGGGUCUGCAUCCUCCAAGUGGUCCAGGUAUUUGUCCCUUGCACACACUGGUAAUCCUCUUAGUGCUUGUCCCAGAUCUUCUCCCUGGAUUGAUGCGCACGGUCUCCUCACCUGCCAGUGGGGCCUUGCCAUCAGCUGUUUGAUAUGAUAACGGUCUGUGAGGUAUGGGUCCGGGAGGUGACCCAGGCUGUAAGUCCUCUGGUGCUAACAGGAUAUGAGGGAGGAGAUCCUCUGAACAAGUUGUUCCUUCUGAGACGAAUUAGCAGUUGUAUUAAUAAAACGUUGUCAUCGCAAAGCUCCAGUUUCAUAAUGGACAGUGAAAGAUGAUGUUGAGCUUUUUAUAAGGUCUUUGGUUUCCUCACUCAAGGCUUUGGAAAUUAAGUCAAAACUAACUGUUGUCAACCUUCCAAUGAUGAAAGGUUGGGUUGACUUUGAUGUGAAAGUGAAAGUGAAGUCGCUCAGUCGUCUCUGAUUCUUUGCGACCCCAUGGACUGUAGCCUACAACGCUCCUCCGUCCAUGGGAUUUUCCAGGCAAGAGUACUGGAGGGGGUUGCCAUUUCCUUCUCCAGAGGAUCUUCCCAACCCAGGGAUCGAACCUGGGUCUCCCGCAUUGUAGGCAGAUGCUUUACCAUCUGAGCCACCAGGGAAGACUCUGGUGUAGACCGAGUCAUUUCUUAAAAGUGUUCCAAUACCACCAGUUUGUCUUUCUGUCCUUCACUUUUUCUCUUUCCGUCUUUUAUGAGAAAGCUGAUUCGUCCGUUGCCAUCACGACUGAGCGAUACGCACACGCACACGCACACGCACGCGCACACGCACACGCACACGCCCGCACGCACGCACGCAUGCGCACACACACUCAUGCGCGCGCAUGCGCGCGCACAACAUUACAGAUUCCGCUUUCCUUCUUGUGGGAACCAACCCGCCCAGCUGAAGUCACCUCAGGUCAUAACUACAGCCUCUUCGUGCACAAUAUAGCUGUCCUCACCCAGGUAACCACCCAAGAUACCACAUUACAUCUAGUCAUCAUGUCUUCUUAGGCUCCUCUUGGCUGUGACAGUUUCUCAGAUUUGUAUUCCUUUUGAUGACCUUGAUGGAUUUGAGGAGCACUGGACAGCUGUUUUAUAGAAUAUCCUUUACUAGAAUUUAUCCAAUGCGUGAUAAAACUGGAGUUAUAGGUUUUGGGAAGGAAGACCACAGAGAAUUGAUGCUUUUGAACUGUGGUGUUGGAGAAGACUCUUGAGAGUCCCUUGGACUGCAAGGAGAUCCAACCAGUCCAUUCUGAAGGAGAUCAGCCCUGGGACUUCUUUGGAAGGAAUGAUGCUAAAGCUGAAACUCCAGUACUUUGGCCACCUCAUGCGAAGAGUUGACUCACUGGAAAAGACUCUGAUGCUGGGAGGGAUUGGGGGGCAGGAGGAGAAGGGGACGACAGAGGAUGAGAUGGCUGGAUGGCAUCACUGCCUCGAUGGACGUGAAUCUGAGUGAACUCCGGGAGUUGGUGAUGGACAGGGAGGCCUGGCGUGCUGCAAUUCAUGGGGUCACAAAGAGUUGGACACGACUGAGCGACUGAACUGAACUGUAGCUAGGGGUCAUUGAGAAAUCCUGAAGGCCUACCCCUCCUGGAAAGAUACUUUAAUCCCUGACUGAGACCUGAGAGAAGAGGAUAUUCUGUUUUCUUGCCCACGUGUGCCAGGAGUGGAGCUUCAGUCAUGCUGAACUGGGGUGGGGGAGGUUGUGGGUCUUUUCUCAAGUGUCACAGACUCUUCUUAUUGAGAUUUAGAUUUUCUUGAAUAAAUGUUUUUGUGUUUGCUCUAUGCCCAUAAGACAGUUUCCAGCGAGUGUUAAAUCACUGCCUGUGUCUUAAAAGUAAUUUUCACCACUUAUGGGUACUUCAUUUGGGAGUGGAUCUUCACAGCUCUUCACAUUGCCACUGGGAAAUGGAACCUCCUUCCUCUUUAAAAUAACUCUAUUACAUUGCAUUGAACGGACCAUACUUUAUUUAACUAGUUAACAGGUUAUUUAAAAACAAUGCUCCAAUUAAUAACCGCUUGUAUAUGCUAAUAGGGCUUCCCAGGUGGUACUAGUGGUAAAGUGAAAGUGAAAGUUAAGUCGCUCAGUCGUGUCUGACUCUUUGCAACCCAUGGACUGUAGCCCACCAAGUUCCUCUGUCCAUGGGAUUCUCCAGGCAAGAAUACUGGAGUGGGUUGCCAUUUCCUUCUCCAGGAGGUCUUCCCGACCCAGGGAUCAAACCCAGGGAAGCCCUUAAAUACAAGAAUACAGUCUCUCAGAAAACCUUCUAUAGAGACACAGAACUUUAGAUCCAAGUGCUAACAUCAAAGAUUUCAAAGGGAGGAAAGGAAGCCAGGUUGAAAGAAGAAGGGGGAGGAGGUGGGAGAGGAGGGCAAAGGGGGUGGCCUUACAGAUGUCUCCUGCCACCUACAGAUACCCAGGCUUUAUGGGACUUUUCCCUGGGCCUCCGGAGAAGGGAGGACUGGAACUCGGCCCUACCGGAAAUCAGAACCAGAAUUCGAGUUCUCUGCCAAGAGGAGGUGAUCAGUCUCCAAUCCUCAGCUCAGGCUGAGGGCCCUUUGACCAGAUUCCUGCUUCCAGGACUGGGGAACCAGAAAAACAGGACUGGGGAACUAGAAAAACGGGGAAAGAUAGGAAGGGUUAAGGAGAGGAGACAGGGAAGGGGAGCUGCUGCUGCUAAGUCGCUUCAGUCGUGUCCAACUCUGUGAGACCCGGUAGACGGCAGCCCACCAGGCUCCCCCGUCCCUGGGAUUCUCCAGGCAAGAACACUGGAGUGGGGUGCCAUUGCCUUCUCCAGGGAAGGGGAGAGAGGUCAAUAAAGAUCCGCCUAACAAUGCAAGAUAUGUAAGAGACAUGGGUUUGAUCCUUGAGUUAGGAAGAUCCUCUGGAGGAGGGCACAGCAACCCACUCCAGUAUUCUUGCUUGGAGAAUCCUAUGAACAGAGGAGCCUGGUGGGCUAUAGUCCUGGGGUCGCAAAGAGUCGGGCACGACUGAAGCGACUUAGCAUGCAUGCAUGAAUGCAUAUGCUAGUAUAUCUGUAAGAUACAUUUCAAUUGCUGGAUGAAAUAAUAUGAACAUAAAUAGCUUUGAUAGAUGUUCCCAAGGUUACCUCUGUUGAGGGCUUCAACCACUAAUAUAAAAGUGUAUCUAUUUCUUCA
ensembl:lncRNA